GAACCAAACAAGUUCUCAUCGGAGGUUUUUGCUGGUCUGGCAUUCAGUUGCUGUUUAAUAUCAGCAUAAAGUUAGCUAAGCGCGAAGACAGCAGCUGUGGGCGUAUAUUUGGUGUGCCAUCGACGGCGUAAGUCCCGAAGAACGAAACUGAAAGAUCACGUGCGUCUUGCAACGGAUGACGGGCCUGCGGUCUUUCAGCUGUAUUCUGUCAAGCCAGCUGAUGGACGUGCAACCUCCCGAGGUUCCGUCCGGCUCCGUUUCAUCAGCGGGUAUUGCCUCGAGGAAGCGAGGAAAUACAUCUAGCGACAGCGAGGACAUUGAGCUGUACUCCGCAUCAGCUGACGAGUCAUCGCAAGACGGUUUUGAACCUGUCUUGAACCGCAAAGUGAAAGCGAAGGAUCGCCAAUGCAUCUUCGAAGUCAAGUUCGUUCACCCUGAAAAAAAAAAAGUGCCGUCCAGAGGGCCCGUGAAAGAGCGGAGAGGCUUGGCCUCCCGAUUCCGACAUGGGAGCAGCCAGCGGCGAGCCGGGGGCCCCAACGGGUCUCCACCGGCUAGUCCCUCAGGACCUCAUUAAAGUUCAUUGUCUG